UACGUAGGGGGCUAGCGUUGUCCGGAUUUAUUGGGCGUAAAGAGCGUGUAGGCGGCCAGGUAGGUCCGCUGUGAAAGUCCGAGGCUCAACCUCGGAAUGUCGGCGGAAACCCUCUGGCUAGGGUCCGGAAGAGGAGAGUGGAAUUCCCGGUGUAGCGGUGAAAUGCGCAGAUAUCGGGAAGAACACCCGUGGCGAAGGCGGCUCUCUGGAACGGUACUGACGCUGAGACGCGAAAGCGUGGGGAGCGAACAGG
rnacentral:rRNA from 1 species